GACGAACGCUGGCGGCGUGCCUAACACAUGCAAGUCAAGGGCUACCCUCGGGUAGCACUGGCGCACGGGUGAGUAACGCGUGGGUAAUCUCCGCCCCUAUCUCUGACAUAACAUCGAGAAAUCGGUGCUAAUAUCAGAUGAGGCCCGCAAGGGUCAAAGACCGCGAGGUUGGAUAGGGAUGAGCCUGCGUCCGAUUAGCUAGUUGGUAGGGUAAUGGCCUACCAAGGCGACGAUCGGUAGCUGGUCUGAGAGGAUGGUCAGCCACACUGGAACUGAGACACGGUCCAGACUCCUACGGGAGGCAGCAGUGAGGAAUAUUGCGCAAUGGGCGAAAGCCUGACGCAGCGACGCCGCGUGUGGGAUGAAGGAGCUUUGCUUCGUAAACCACUGUCGGACGGGAAGAAAAGUUCCUACGGGGGCUUGGGACAGUACCGUCAGAGGAAGCACCGGCUAACUACGUGCCAGCAGCCGCGGUAAAACGUCUA
rnacentral:rRNA from 1 species